rnacentral:rRNA from 1 species
UACGAAGGGGGCUAGCGUUGCUCGGAAUCACUGGGCGUAAAGCGCACGUAGGCGGGCGUGUCAGUCAGGGGUGAAAUCCCGGAGCUCAACUCCGGAACUGCCUCUGAUACAGCACGUCUUGAGUUCGAGAGAGGUGGGUGGAAUUCCUAGUGUAGAGGUGAAAUUCGUAGAUAUUAGGAAGAACACCGGUGGCGAAGGCGGCCCACUGGCUCGAUACUGACGCUGAGGUGCGAAAGCGUGGGGAGCAAACAGG